UUUAUCUAGAAAAAGCAUGUUUUAUCUUGUUUAGUUUGUUUUUUCUUAGAAUUUUUAUUGGACCGUGCAUCUUGGAAAAUAAUAAUGAGUAAAUUAAACGGCAAUAAGUCUAAAAAGAAUUUACAUCUGUCUCUCUGUCCUCCUUUGCUCCUAUCUCAGCCGCAGCUGUAAAUAUUUAUCUGCGUUUUUCGAGUGAAAGACGUGGACUAACAUACUUAAUCAUAGUUUUUACCGUGGCUUCCUUCCAGGCGUCUGAGCUGUAUGUAAUGUUAAACAGGGCUAGUGGUUCAUUUUGCAAAUCAUCGUUAAUAUUUCAACGUGAAACCAGC